rnacentral:rRNA from 1 species
AACGAACGCUGGCGGCAGGCCUAACACAUGCAAGUCGAGCGCCCCGCCAGGGGAGCGGCGGCCGGGUGAGUAACGCGUGGGAAUAUGCCCUUUGCUACGGAAUAGUCUCGGGAAACUGGGGGUAAUACCGUAUACGCCCUUUGGGGGAAAGAUUUAUCGGCGAAGGAUUAGCCCGCGUUGGAUUAGGUAGUUGGUGGGGUAAUGGCCUACCAAGCCGACGAUCCAUAGCUGGUUUGAGAGGAUGAUCAGCCACACUGGGACUGAGACACGGCCCAGACUCCUACGGGAGGCAGCAGUGGGGAAUCUUAGACAAUGGGGGCAACCCUGAUCUAGCCAUGCCGCGUGAGCGAUGAAGGCCUUAGGGUUGUAAAGCUCUUUCAGCUGGGAAGAUAAUGACGGUACCAGCAGAAGAAGCCCCGGCUAACUCCGUG